CGUGAUCAGAAUUACAAUAAGUCUCAACAUUGGUUGAGCGUCAGCCCUGCAAUGUGUUCAUUGAUGGGAGCUCCCACCAAUCACCUUCACUCUCACUCCCCCAUUCAUCUUCUCUGCACAGCAUUGUGGCUGAGAAGACUAUUACUGAACCCAUGUCGACCGCGCAAAAACCUGCUGACGCUCUCCAAACGCUGGAACUCGCUCGUCAGCAGAUGCUGUAGCAUUGUGUCCGCUUCUUUCUGCUUCCUGUCUUAAUGACACUGCUGUGUAUCUCUUGAGUGGGUGGAGCAAGUUACACCACGACAAAGCAAAAAAGGGAAGAUGGCUAUGAGAAAUGGAACAGUUGUUGAAGUUUACAGUUUUUGAAAGCAAACAGUACUCAUGGUCUAGGAGUUAAUGCUGUGUAAGAAUUGUAGAUAGAUAGAUUCACUGAAAUAAUAACAGGUCAGUAAAAGUAAUGUUAAGGAUUGGUUAAAGUUAUUAUAACAUGUCUGACAUAAGUGGUAAGCCAAUUGUUUGUUUUUUUUGGUAGUUAGUGGUUUCCAGAUUCAGGAUGUUAGAUGAUCUGCAGUUUUUGUUUUAGUUUUGAUGUGGUCUGCCACCCAGAAAAACACUGCUUUAAACAAUGGCAAUAUAAUUUUCAUCAGAUUACUAUAAUCAGCAUUAUAGUUCUAUAUUUCUUCGCGCCCUGACAAAACUUACUAAUUCACAAAAUUAACGGAAUGCAUAGCUGAUAUAAAAAAAAUGGAAGAAUAGCAAUUUCCUAAUUCUGACAAAACAGAGAUUCAAAUAUAGAGGUUAUAUAAAAGGUUAUUGGACCAAAAACCUCUGCACGUAAUAACCUAGAAUAUUGUCUAACACUUGAUGGAUGUUUUGUCAAGUCUUCGUCAUCAGUUAGGAACCUAGAUGUGCUCUUUGAUACCAGUGUUUCAUUUGAAAGCAUUUCUAGCAUCUGUAAAACCGCAUUCUUUCAUCUUAAAAAUCUAUCUAAAUUAUGACAUAUGCUCUCAAUGACAAAUGCGGAACAGUUAGUUCAUGCAUUUAUGACCUCAAGGCUAGAUUACUGUAAUGCUUUACUGGGUGGUUGCCCUGCAUGCCAAAUAAACAAACUCCAGCUGGUCCAAAAUGCAACAGUGAGAGUUCUUAAUAGAACCAGGAAGUAUGACCAUAUUAGCCCGGUUCUGUCAUCACUGCAUUGGCUUCCUAAUAAACAUUGUAUAAAUUUUAAAAUCUUGCUAAUUACUUACAAAGCACUAAAUGGUUUAGCUCCCCAGUAGCCUACUUGUGCGAGCUCUUAACACAUUAUAGUCCUUCUCAUCUAUUGUGUUCUCAAAAUUCUGGCCAGUUGAUAAUACCUAGAAUAUCAAAAUCAACCACAGGCGGUAGAUCCUUUUCCUUUUUAGCACCUAAACUUUGGAACAGUCUUCCUAGCAUUGUUUAGGAAGCAGACACGCUCUGUUUAAAUCUAGACUAAAACACAUCUGUUUAAACUUGCAUACACAUAACACAUUAUCUACUUCUAUGGUUCAAAUCAUGUAAAUUGUUAGGCUGCAUAAAUUAGGUCAGCCGGAACACCUGA